rnacentral:rRNA from 1 species
GACGAACGCUGGCGGCGUGCUUAACACAUGCAAGUCGAGCGGCGCGGCGAACGGGUGAGUAACGCGUGAGUAACUACCCCCCUCUCUGGGAUAACAGUUGAAAACGGCUGCUAAUACCGGAUAGUGGGGGAUGACUCGCGUCCUAUCAGCUUGUUGGUGGGGUAGUGGCCUACGACUGCGACGAGUGGUAGCCGGCCUGGGAGGGCGACCGGCCACAUGGGGCUGAGAUACGGCCCAAUAUCCUACGGGAGGCAACAGUGGGAAAUAUUGCACAAUGGGGGAAACCCUGAUGAAGCAACGCCGCGUGCGGGAGGACGGGCUUCGGGUUGUAAACCGCUUUCAGCCAUGACGCGGUAGUGGCAGAAGAAGCACCGGCUAACUACGUGCCAGCAGCCGCGGUAAUUC